rnacentral:rRNA from 1 species
UGAUGCAGAGUAAAACUCAAAAAACGGUACUCAGUUCGGAUUGAAGGCUGAAAUUCGCCUUCAUGAAGUCGGAAUUGCUAGUAAUGGCAGGUCAGCAUACUGCCGUGAAUACGUUCCCGGGCCUUGUACACACCGCCCGUCACACCAUGAGAGUUGGAGAUACCCGAAGCCUAUGAGCUAACUUUUAGAGGCAGUAGUCGAAGGUAGAAUCAAUGAUUGGGGUGAAGUCGUAACAAGGUACC